UACGAAGGGGGCUAGCGUUGUUCGGAAUUACUGGGCGUAAAGCGCACGUAGGCGGAUAUUUAAGUCAGGGGUGAAAUCCCGGGGCUCAACCCCGGAACUGCCUUUGAUACUGGGUAUCUCGAGUCCGAGAGAGGUGAGUGGAAUUCCGAGUGUAGAGGUGAAAUUCGUAGAUAUUCGCAAGAACACCAGUGGCGAAGGCGGCUCACUGGCCCGGUACUGACGCUGAGGUGCGAAAGCGUGGGGAGCAAACAGG
rnacentral:rRNA from 1 species